UGGGGAAUAUUGCGCAAUGGGCGAAAGCCUGACGCAGCGACGCCGCGUGAGGGAAGAAGGCCUUCGGGUCGUAAACCUCUGUCUAGAGGGAAGAAACCAUUGAGGUCGAACAGGCCUCUUUGCUGACGGUACCUCUGAAGGAAGCACCGGCUAACUCCGUGCCAGCAGCCGCGGUAAUACGGAGGGUGCGAGCGUUAAUCGGAAUCACUGGGCGUACAGCGCACGUCGGCGGUGUCGUAAGUCGGUGGUGAAAGCCCUCGGCUCAACCGGGGAACUGCAUUCGAUACUGCGAUGCUUGAGUGCCGGAGAGGGGGGCGGAAUUCCAGGUGUAGGAGUGAAAUCCGUAGAUAUCUGGAGGAACACCAGUGGCGAAGGCGGCCACCUGGCCGGCAACUGACGCUGAGGUGCGAAAGCGUGGGGAUCAAACA
rnacentral:rRNA from 1 species